UGAGCACCUCGUUCAGCAGGGAGUUGUUGAGGUUGUAGUAGUCAUGGCUGUUCCCCUCAAAUUUGAGCUGAAAAUUAAGAAAAUGACUUAAUUUGUUCUAUAGUAUGUAAGAGGAAGUGACUUACUGUUCCACUACUACUACAGGCGAUAUUUUAUGGAGUGGCCACCAGAUGUCUCACGCAACUGUACUCACACGGCGCCGCGGCCACACAGCUGAGCUCAGUUCUUCCUACGUGCCACUUGAACAACAAUACAGUACCCACGCUGCCACACUAUUCAACAACAACACCCUCGCUGCUCUGCUACCACGAGGGGAAGGGCAGCCAGAGGAGGAACCACGAGAGGGAAAGGAGUCAGAGUGGUACAGUAGGCAAUAAAGGUACAAACCUA